rnacentral:rRNA from 1 species
GACGAACCGUGCGAACGUUGUUCGGAAUCACUGGGCUUAAAGGGCGCGUAGGCGGGCUGCCAAGUCUGGGGUGAAAUCCUCCGGCUCAACCGGAGAACGGCCUCGGAUACUGGCGGUCUCGAGGGAGGUAGGGGCGUGCGGAACUAAGGGUGGAGCGGUGAAAUGCGUUGAUAUCCUUAGGAACUCCGGUGGCGAAGGCGGCACGCUGGACCUUUUCUGACGCUGAGGCGCGAAAGCGUGGGGAGCGAACAGG